rnacentral:tRNA from 2 species
CCUUCGAUAGCUCAGUUGGUAGAGUGGAGGACUGUAGAUCCUUAGGUCGCUGGUUCGACUCCGGCUCGAAGGA